GGGAGGGAAGGAAGGAGUAAGACAGGAGGAAGCCGGGCUGUUGAGUCAGCCCUGCGCAGCUGCCUGCGAGAGCAGAGCCAGGGAGAGCCGCGCUGGCUGCAAGGGACAGGAUUGCUGAGCGCACGGCGAAAUGGUUUGAGUAAUAAUCAACGCCUGCCGCUAUGUGGCCAGGAAGAUGAGGAGCCUGCGGAGCCGGGAGCCCCGGGAUGAACCGCCCUGCCCGGGGCAGGCAGUGCCCCAGAGCCACCCCCGGGACAGGGACAUGUCCCACAGCCACCCCCGGGACAGGGACAUGUCCCACAGCCACCCCCGGGAUGUAAAACCAGAGUUACCAGCACCCUCUGAAGCACCAGCCUCACUCCCCAGAAACAUCAAACCCAUCCAGUGCAGGUCCUGACGAUAAAAGCCCUCACGGUGCUCCCAUGAACCCCACGAGAUUUCUUCCCACUGAUUUUUGCUGGAAAUCCUGUAUCCCAGGGAUUGGAAAACAUCAGCAAAUCCCUGCUGUAUCUGCUCUCAGCACAGAAGCACAUUGAUAGAAAAUGUCCUGAUCGGUGUUUCAUGACCAGAAUUUUCAAAUUGGCAGGGAAAAAAGAUUCCCAUGUGCAUCAGAUGCUCCUGGCACCCAUGGGCCAUGGAACACCAGGGGAGGAGCAGGAGCCCCUACAUCCUAGCAAGGAACUAGAUGUUUAUACUGUGAAACCAAAUCAUGCUCCCAGUGAUAUUGGUACAAAUUCAGACGAAGGCAAAACCAUUUCCUGAGCUGAAUAAGGAGUUUUGGAGCUCAGGUGUGUGGGAAUCCCUUUCCCCAUGCCCAGGUGAUGUGCAGCACCCCCAGAGCAGAGGCUGCAGGACCACAGCAGGAUGUGCCCCCAACCCUGCCCUGUCACAGAGCAAUGACAGCAGAGCCCCAAACCCCACAAGUGUGGGGAGGACCUGCCUGACCCCUCCUGUGACAGCUCAGCCUGAAGUAAAGGUGCAUGAAAAUCA